AUUAUUAUUAUUAUUAUUAUUAUUAUUAUUAUGUAUUUGUGAUGUUAUUAUAAUAUGAAUGCUUCCCGUGAUCUGUUACCAAAAUGACAAAUUUAUUACCACUCAACGGUCGCGUACGACACAAUGAUGUUGACUUGACAGAUUCGUCGGCGCGGUCCGCUGAAAUUUCUGCAGUCGAAUUGCGCUCGUAAACGCCUAUUGCACCACGAUGCAAUUAACUGUUGGUAUAAAAUGAAACUAUAUAGGAAAAAUGAAGAUUUUAUUUGGAUAAGACUACCGGUGUGACACUUCACAUUUUUGUUUUAUUCAAAUGAAAAUAUACAUUAUUUUUUCAAAGAUUAAUCCACAAUUCAGUACAACAAUCACGUAUUGGUUAAGCUCUAUGUAAUGUAAAUAUAUUUGCACAUUUUUAUUAUAAAUUAUAAAAAAAAAGACAUUGAAA